rnacentral:rRNA from 1 species
UACGUAGGGUCCGAGCGUUGUCCGGAAUUACUGGGCGUAAAGAGCUCGUAGGUGGGUUGUCGCGUUGUUCGUGAAAACUCACAGCUCAACUGUGGGCGUGCGGGCGAUACGGGCAGACUGGAGUACUGCAGGGGAGACUGGAAUUCCUGGUGUAGCGGUGGAAUGCGCAGAUAUCAGGAGGAACACCGGUGGCGAAGGCGGGUCUCUGGGCCGGAACUGACGCUAAGGAGCGAAAGCGUGGGGAGCGAACAGG